UUACGACCACAUCAUGUUGAAACACCAGUUCUCGUACGAACAUCGAGGUUAAGCAACGUCGAUCUUGGCCAGUACCUCGAUGGGUAGUCGCUUGGGAAUAGCAGAUGUUGUAAU